rnacentral:rRNA from 1 species
UACGUAGGGGGCAAGCGUUAUCCGGAAUUACUGGGUGUAAAGGGAGCGUAGACGGUUAAGUAAGUCUGGAGUGAAAGGCCGGGGCCCAACCCCGGGACUGCUCUGGAAACUAUUGAACUUGAGUGCAGGAGAGGUAAGCGGAAUUCCUAGUGUAGCGGUGAAAUGCGUAGAUAUUGGGAAGAACACCAGCGGCGAAGGCGAUUCACUGGACUGUAACUGACACUGAGGCACGAAAGCGUGGGGAGCAAAAAGG